rnacentral:rRNA from 1 species
CCUACGGGGGGCUGCAGUGAGGAAUAUUGGUCAAUGGACGAGAGUCUGAACCAGCCAAGUAGCGUGAAGGAUGACUGCCCUAUGGGUUGUAAACUUCUUUUAUAUGGGAAUAAAACGUUCCACGUGUGGGAUUUUGUAUGUACCAUAUGAAUAAGGAUCGGCUAACUCCGUGCCAGCAGCCGCGGUAAUACGGAGGAUCCGAGCGUUAUCCGGAUUUAUUGGGUUGAAAGGGAGCGUAGGUGGAUUGUUAAGUCAGUUGUGAAAGUUUGCGGCUCAACCGUAAAAUUGCAGUUGAAACUGGCAGUCUUGAGUACAGUAGAGGUGGGCGGAAUUCGUGGUGUAGCGGUGAAAUGCUUAGAUAUCACGAAGAACUCCGAUUGCGAAGGCAGUUCACUGGACUGCAACUGACACUGAGGCUCGAAAGUGUGGGUAUCAAACAGGAUUAGAUACCCGGGUAGUC